rnacentral:ncRNA from 2 species
AUUACAAAAUAGGGGAGCUGGCUGAAGCCGGCUGAGAGGAAACUGAUUGGUUUCGACCCUUAACCUGAUUUGGAUAAUGCCAACGUAGGGAAAUACCAGACACAUUGA